rnacentral:rRNA from 1 species
GACGAACGCUGGCGGCGUGCUUAACACAUGCAAGUCGAACGGAAAGGCCCUGCUUUUGUGGGGUGCUCGAGUGGCGAACGGGUGAGUAACACGUGAGUAACCUGCCCUUGACUUUGGGAUAACUUCAGGAAACUGGGGCUAAUACCGGAUAGGAGCUCCUGCUGCAUGGUGGGGGUUGGAAAGUUUCGGCGGUUGGGGAUGGACUCGCGGCUUAUCAGCUUGUUGGUGGGGUAGUGGCUUACCAAGGCUUUGACGGGUAGCCGGCCUGAGAGGGUGACCGGCCACAUUGGGACUGAGAUACGGCCCAGACUCCUACGGGAGGCAGCAGUGGGGAAUAGUGCACAAUGGGCGGAAGCCUGAUGCAGCAACGCCGCGUGCGGGAUGACGGCCUUCGGGUUGUAAACCGCUUUCGACUGUGACGAAGCGUGAGUGACGGUAAUGGGUAAAGAAGCACCGGCUAACUACGUG